rnacentral:lncRNA from 1 species
UUAUUUUGUUGAAUUAGUGAGAUGUAAAGUUGUAAACAAGCAUGUGUUUGGUGGAUGACUAAAUGUAAAAGAUUUGAUGGUUGAAUGGAAUUGUAAUAGUUUUACUUGUAUUUGGUUUAACUUUAAUCAAAUAUCAUGUGUGUUGUAUAUUUAGCUUAGAGCUUUCGCUUCCGUUGUUGCUUGCCCUCGUGCAAGCCUUGUAUUACAUAUGCA